rfam:Schistosoma haematobium scaffold280_46, whole genome shotgun sequence.
AUCUAGCUGACGAGUCCCAUAUAGAACGAAACGUGGGUCUUGGAU